UACGAAGGGGGCUAGCGUUGCUCGGAAUUACUGGGCGUAAAGGGCGCGUAGGCGGACAGUUAAGUCAGAGGUGAAAGCCCAGGGCUCAACCUUGGAACUGCCUUUGAUACUGGCUGUCUAGAGUGCGGGAGAGGUGUGUGGAACUCCGAGUGUAGAGGUGAAAUUCGUAGAUAUUCGGAAGAACACCAGUGGCGAAGGCGACACACUGGCCCGUAACUGACGCUG
rnacentral:rRNA from 1 species